rnacentral:rRNA from 1 species
AGUUUGAUCAUGGCUCAGGACGAACGCUGGCGGCGUGCCUAAUACAUGCAAGUCGAACGAGAAUUGCUUACACCGAGUGCUUGCACUCACCGUAAGGAAUUCGAGUGGCGGACGGGUGAGUAACACGUGGGUAACCUGCCUAUCAGAGGGGGAUAACACUUGGAAACAGGUGCUAAUACCGCAUAAUAUUGAAAAGCGCAUGCUUUUCAAUUAAAAGGCGCUUCUGGUGUCACUGAUAGAUGGACCCGCGGCGUAUUAGCUAGUUGGUGAGGUAACGGCCUACCAAGGCAAUGAUACGUAGCCGAGUUGAGAGACUGAUCGGCCACAAUGGGACUGAGACACGGCCCAUACUCCUACGGGAGGCAGCAGUAGGGAAUCUUCCACAAUGGGCGCAAGCCUGAUGGAGCAACGCCGCGUGCGUGAAGAAGGUCUUCGGAUCGUAAAGCGCUGUUGUUAGAGAAGAACACGGAUAAGAGUAACUGUUUAUGCGUUGACGGUAUCUAACCAGAAAGUCACGGCUAACUACGUGCCAGCAGCCGCGGUAAUACGUAGGUGGCGAGCGUUGUCCGGAUUUAUUGGGCGUAAAGGGAACGCAGGCUGUUUUUUAAGUCCGAUGUGAAAGCCUUCGGCUUAACCGAAGAAGUGCAUUGGAAACUGGGAGACUUGAGUGCAGAAGAGGAGAGUGGAACUCCAUGUGUAGCGGUGAAAUGCGUAGAUAUAUGGAAGAACACCAGUGGCGAAAGCGGCUCUCUGGUCUGUAACUGACGCUGAGGUUCGAAAGCAUGGGUAGCGAACAGGAUUAGAUACCCUGGUAGUCC